rnacentral:rRNA from 1 species
GACGAACGCUGGCGGCGUGCUUAACACAUGCAAGUCGUACGGUAAGGCCCUUCGGGGUACACGAGUGGCGAACGGGUGAGUAACACGUGGGUGAUCUGCCCUGCACUUCGGGAUAAGCCUGGGAAACUGGGUCUAAUACCGGAUAGGACCACUGCCUGCAUGGGUGGUGGUGGAAAGCUUUUGCGGUGUGGGAUGGGCCCGCGGCCUAUCAGCUUGUUGGUGGGGUGAUGGCCUACCAAGGCGACGACGGGUAGCCGGCCUGAGAGGGUGACCGGCCACACUGGGCGUGAGAUACGGCCCAGACUCCUACGGGGGGCGGCAGUGGGGAAUAUUGCACGAUGGGCGCAAGCCUGAUGCAGCGACGCCGCGUGAGGGAUGACGGCCUUCGGGUUGUAAACCUCUUUUAGCACCGACGAAGCGCAAGUGACGGUAGGUGCAGAAGAAGGACCGGCCAACUACGUGCCUGCCGCCGCGGUAA